rnacentral:ncRNA from 1 species
UUGAGCCGUAUGACAGGAAACUGUCACGUACGGUUCUUAGGGGAGUUAGGGGCAGUGAUGCCCCUCGCUUACCCGAC